AGUGAACGCUGGCGGUAGGCCUAACACAUGCAAGUCGAACGGCAGCACAGUAAGAGCUUGCUCUUACGGGUGGCGAGUGGCGGACGGGUGAGGAAUACAUCGGAAUCUACUUUUUCGUGGGGGAUAACGUAGGGAAACUUACGCUAAUACCGCAUACGGCCUACGGGUGAAAGCAGGGGAUCUUCGGACCUUGCGCGAUUGAAUGAGCCGAUGUCGGAUUAGCUAGUUGGCGGGGUAAAGGCCCACCAAGGCGACGAUCCGUAGCUGGUCUGAGAGGAUGAUCAGCCACACUGGAACUGAGACACGGUCCAGACUCCUACGGGAGGCAGCAGUGGGGAAUAUUGGACAAUGGGCGCAAGCCUGAUCCAGCCAUACCGCGUGGGUGAAUAAGGCCUUCGGGUUGUAAAGCCCUUUUGUUGGGAAAGAAAAGCAGCAGGUUAAUACCCCGCUGUUCUGACGGUACCCAAAGAAUAAGCACCGGCUAACUUCGUG
rnacentral:rRNA from 1 species